ACUUUCUGAAAUGUUGACCUCGGAUCAGGUAGGAA
rnacentral:rRNA from 1 species